CAGUAGCCGCGGGAAUACGUAGGGUGCAAGCGUUGUCCGGAAUCAUUGGGCGUAAAGCGCGCGUAGGUGGUCAUGUAAGUCCGCUGUGAAAGUCAAAGGCUCAACCUUUGAAAGCCGGUGGAUACUGCAUGACUAGAGUACGGAAGAGGCGAGUGGAAUUCCUGGUGUAGCGGUGGAAUGCGCAGAUAUCAGGAGGAACACCAAUAGCGAAGGCAGCUCGCUGGGACGUUACUGACACUGAGGCGCGAAAGCGUGGGGAGCGAACAGGAUUAGAUACCCCAGUAGUCCCUGUCUCUUAUAC
rnacentral:rRNA from 1 species